GUCCCUGAGCACGGGACCAGACUAUGGGCACAUAAGCAGCACAGGGGCAGGUAACGGUACAACACAGCUUUAUUAACAAGCAAUCCCUUAGGCACAAACAAGGUGUAACUGCCCAACAAAGGCACAACUGUAGGGGGUAUUUGUGGCCCAGUCCCUUAUAUUAGUCACUUGCAGCUCCCAGGCAGCCCAGUAACAGCUCCCCUCACAGUGAGGCUCCCAGUUGCACUUCUGUAGGUGGGGGGGAUAACUGGCAGAUUAACUUAACUGCUGGAGUGUAACUCAGGUGCUGGAGUGUAACUCAGGGGUCAGUGCUGGGGAAAUCCAAUCCAAAAUGAGGGGACGCCGCAGCUUAUCCCACUCUGCUUUGCAGUCACCAGUUCCCACUGCAGCCUUUCCAGCAGCUUCUUUCUCAACAGCCACUUCCUCUUCCCUCUGACCUCUCUGAGCCAACUGCUUCCUGUCCCUGGGACCUCCCGGCCCCUCCCUCCUGAGCCAGCAGCUUCCACAGCUAUUAGGAGUCUUUUCACAUCUCUCCCCCCCCAGAGGGCGGCCGUCCGGUCUCCCCCCAGACGGGGGGAAGACCGUAGGACGCCCUUGUCCUGUACAGUCUUCACCGUCCCUUCUUGAGAGUCCAUCCGCAUUCCCAUGGUGGCUCCCCUUGCGGUGCUGUAUAGUAAAGUUGAACUGCUGCAAAGCUAGGCUCCACCUCAGCAAUUUCCCAUUGUCUCCAGAAACGCGUUGCAACCAGCUCAGAGGGUUAUGGUCAGUUACCACAGUGAAUGCACUUCCAAACAGAUAGGGCUGCAGUUUCUUUAAGGCCCACACAAUGGCCAGACACUCUUUUUCAAUUGUAGCAUAUGCAACUUCCCGGGGAAGCAGCUUCCGGCUCAGGUAUAUAAUGGGGUGCUCCCCUCCCUUCUCAUCCACUUGGGACAACACAGCACCAAUCCCAUAGGUGGAGGCGUCAGUGUGGACAAUGAAUCCCCGGCUAAAGUCAGGUGCAGACAUAACAGGGGCAUUCACUAAGGCAGAUUUGAGUGCAGACAUGGCGGUAGCACACUCGGGUGUCCAGGUUACCACUCGUGGGCGUCUUUUACUCGUCAGAUCUGUCAGGGGUUUAGCAAUAGCACUGUAGUUAGGGAUAAAGCGUCGGUAAUACCCUGCUGUCCCCAAAAAGGCUAACACCUGUUUCUGUGUUGUGGGAGUAGGCCAGUUUACUAUGACUUCAACCUUGGCCGGUUCUGGCAUCACUCGCCCGCUUCCCACCCGAUGACCCAAAUAUUGGACCUCAGCCAUCCCAAAGUGGCAUUUCCCUGGUUUAAGGGUAAGCCCAGCCUGCCUAAUCCUUUCCAGCACCCUCUGCAGGUGCUGCACAUGUUCCUCCCAGGUGUUGCUAAAUAUGGCUAUAUCAUCCAGAUAUGCCUGAGCAAACUCUUGGCACCCCUCCAACAGCUGAUUUACUACCCUCUGGAAUGUCGCUGGUGCGUUUUUCAUUCCAAAUGGCAUGACUGUAAAUUGAAACAAGCCAUAGGGAGUGAUAAAAGCCGACUUCUCUUGGUCCCCUGGUGCCAAGGGAAUCUGCCAGUAUCCUCGGCUUAGGUCUAGGGUGGUGAGGUAUUUGGCAUUCCCCAGGUGGUCAAGGAGUUCAUCCACCCGGGGCAUUGGGUAGGCGUCUGUAACUGUCACUUGGUUCAGUUUCCUAUAGUCUACACAAAACCUAGUGCUGCCAUCCUUCUUGGGAACUAAUACUACUGGUGAUGCCCAAGGGCUCUGAGAGGGAACAAUCACCCCUAAUGCCAACAUUUCCUCUACUUC